rnacentral:tRNA from 1 species
GCUGGCUGGUCGAGAAGUUCUGGGCGUUCGAGCUGCCCGAGGACAUCGCGCGCGAGCGCGGCGUGCAGCUGACGCC